AACGAACGCUAUCGGUAUGCUUAACACAUGCAAGUCGGACGGACUAAUUAGGGCUUGCUCCAGUUCGUUAGUGGCAGACGGGUGAGUAACACGUGGGAAUCUGCCCAUCAGUACGGAAUAACUUUUAGAAAUAAAAGCUAAUAACGUAUAUUCUCUACAGAGGAAAGAUUUAUCGCUGAUGGAUGAGCCCGCGUCAGAUUAGGUAGUUGGUGAGGUAACGGCUCACCAAGCCGACGAUCUGUAGCUGGUCUGAGAGGAUGAUCAGCCACACUGGGACUGAGACACGGCCCAGACUCCUACGGGAGGCAGCAGUGGGGAAUAUUGGACAAUGGGCGAAAGCCUGAUCCAGCAAUACCGAGUGAGUGAUAAAGGCCCUAGGGUUGUAAAGCUCUUUUAGCAAGGAAGAUAAUGACGUUACUUGCAGAAAAAGCCCCGGCUAACUCCGUG
rnacentral:rRNA from 1 species